CAGCAAGGGUUCACUCCCCGAGCCAGCACGCAAGGGUGUCCGUGCAGCUGGACUUUCAGGUGUGUCACGCUGGGGCUGAGGCCUCCGGAGGGACUCCUAGAAGGGAGGCGUGCGUGUAAAGCGCCAUCCCUCAGCAGCCCACGAUCUCAGACGGUUGCCACUGUGGCCAGUGUUUAUUGAUGCUUCUGAGGCCAUAGAGCACGCACGGGGAAGUUCUGAGCACACGGAGGACAAGCCAGGGCGGUGCUGUGUGGCCGCAGUCAACCCUAAGUAGGGGUCCGAGUGGGGGACGGUCGCUAACACCUCGAUUCCUCAUGUCUGUGUUUCUGCAGCUGGAGCUUGGAGAGUGUGUGUGAGAGCGAACCUCGCUGACAGCAACCUCGCAGAAAGUGAUCGAGACUCGGUGGCGGAGCGCACCGACUGCCGCCAGGAUGAGGAGGCUGCAGACUGUUGCUUUGGGAGCAAAGGAUCGUGCUUCAAAAGUCUGAGGACAAGUUUGUCCUCUGCGAGCUUGGCUAGAAUAAUUCCCCGGUGGCCACACAACAGGGUGCACCUUGCCACUGAGCCAGAUGAAGGAACUCACGACGACGAUGUUGUGGAGGCCGGUGGGAGUGAGAAGACCGAGGCAAAGCCCCGGGCUGGGGGACAUGAGGACGAGGCGGCCCCAGUACCUGAGGUGGAGGGGAGGAGGAGGCGGGCCAGCCCCGUGAAAAUGGCCAGGAGGAGUCCUAGCCAUCGCCUGGGCUGAGCCGGAAGACGAGCCUGGCCCCAAGGUGGACGGGGCGGACGAUGAAAUCUGUGAGUAUUCUGGAGCCCGGCUGUGCUGAGGAGAAGUCCAGGUGUUGAGGAAAUGGGGG
rnacentral:lncRNA from 9 species